CAUAUCAAUAAGCGGAGGAAAAGAAACCAACAGGGAUUGCCCCAGUAACGGCGAGUGAAGCGGCAACAGCUCAAAUUUGAAAUCUGGCCCCCAGGGCCCGAGUUGUAAUUUGCAGAGGAUGCUUUUGGCGCGGCGCCUUCCGAGUUCCCUGGAACGGGACGCCAUAGAGGGUGAGAGCCCCGUCUGGUCGGACGCCAAGCCAGUGUAAAGCUCCUUCGACGAGUCGAGUAGUUUGGGAAUGCUGCUCUAAAUGGGAGGUAUAUGUCUUCUAAAGCUAAAUAUAGGCCAGAGACCGAUAGCGCACAAGUAGAGUGAUCGAAAGAUGAAAAGCACUUUGAAAAGAGGGUUAAACAGUACGUGAAAUUGUUGAAAGGGAAGCACUUGUGACCAGACUUGGGCCCGGUGAAUCAUCCAGCGUUCUCGCUGGUGCACUUCGCCGGGCUCAGGCCAGCAUCAGUUCGCCGCGGGGGACAAAAGCUUCGGGAACGUGGCUCCCUCGGGAGUGUUAUAGCCCGUUGCACAAUACCCUGCGGUGGACUGAGGUUCGCGCUCCGCAAGGAUGCUGGCGUAAUGGUCACCGGUGACCCGUCUUGAAACACGGACCAAGGAGUCGUCUUCGUAUGCGAGUGUUCGGGUGUCAAACCCCUACGCGUAAUGAAAGUGAACGCAGGUGAGAGCUUCGGCGCAUCAUCGACCGAUCCUGAUGUUCUCGGAUGGAUUCGAGUAAGAGCAUACGGGGCCGGACCCGAAAGAAGGUGAACUAUGCCUGUAUAGGGUGAAGCCAGAGGAAACUCUGGUGGAGGCUCGCAGCGGUUCUGACGUGCAAAUCGAUCGUCAAAUAUGGGCAUGGGGGCGAAAGACUAAUCGAACCUUCUAGUAGCUGG
rnacentral:rRNA from 1 species